CCCAGACUCCUACGGGAGGCAGCAGUGGGGGAUAUUGCACAAUGGGGGAAACCCUGAUGCAGCAACGCCGCGUGAGUGAAGAAGUAUUUCGGUAUGUAAAGCUCUAUCAGCAGGGAAGAGAAUGACGGUACCUGACUAAGAAGCCCCGGCUAACUACGUGCCAGCAGCCGCGGUAAUACGUAGGGGGCGAGCGUUAUCCGGAUUUACUGGGUGUAAAGGGAGCGUAGACGGCUGGUCAAGUCUGAAGUGAAAGCCCGGGGCUUAACCCCGGAACGGCUUUGGAAACUGAGCAGCUAGAGUGCUGGAGAGGUAAGCGGAAUUCCUAGUGUAGCGGUGAAAUGCGUAGAUAUUAGGAGGAACACCAGUGGCGAAGGCGGCUUACUGGACAGUAACUGACGUUGAGGCUCGAAAGCGUGGGGAGCAAACAGGAUUAGAUACCCCUGUAU
rnacentral:rRNA from 1 species